AACUGACUGGAUAAUUUAUUACAUCGUUUCGUUUUGAUCGUUACAGACACCGAUUGAAGUGCAGAACCUCCAACUACUCCGUUCCUGCACGGCAUGAACGACUACCAUAACUAUAACCAUAGCCAUAACCAUAACCGCACUUAAACUAAACCAUGGCUUUGAGAUGGCCGCUCCUACUGCGGUUCCGUUCUCAACAACCUCUGCUCGCUCCAACUAACUUUGCCGCCUUCUCCGAUCUCGCCGAACCGCGUGCUUUUGACGUGCCGUGUCUUCCUUCCGUGAAUCUACUCCACCGGAGCAAUGUUUUGGCUCCGGCACUGAAGCUGAAGGUUCUGGCGCCGUACGUCGUCAAAUGCCUCGCCAGAUCCACAGAGGAGAAGCAAUGGAGCGACGCCGAAACAGUCGUCUCUGAUUCCGACGAAGCUGCUUCUGAGGAUGACGGAAACGGUCAGCUUCGGAGCCGAACCUCUGCUUCGGAAACUGACCGUCUUGAGUCUCCGAGAGUUGCGACUCCCUCCUCCGGCGACUCUCUUUCGCUUGGAAUUCGAGAACCGGUUUACGAAGUUGUGGAAGUGAGAUCAGAUGGAACAGUAUCGACAAGAAAAAUCAAUAGGAGACAAUUGUUGAAGUCAAGUGGUCUUCGUCCUCGGGACAUUCGAAGUGUGGAUCCGUCUUUGUUUUUGACGAAUUCGGUACCCUCUUUGCUGGUUCGUGAGUAUGCGAUACUUCUAAAUCUGGGCUCCCUUCGAGCAAUAGCAAUGAAAGAUUGUGUACUUAUAUUUGACUAUAAUCGUAAAGGAGGGCAAGCUUUUCUGGAGUCAUUGUUGCCCAGGUUGAACCCCAAGAACAGUAAUGGAGGGCCAUCAAUGCCAUUUGAACUCGAGGCUGUUGAAGCAGCAUUGCUUUCAAGAAUACAGCGUUUAGAGCGCAGACUGAUGGACUUAGAACCUCGAGUGCAGGCUCUUCUUGAAGCCUUGCCAAAUCGAUUAACGGGUGACAUAUUGGAGCAACUUCGUAUUAGCAAACAAACUUUGGUUGAGUUAGGUUCUAGGGCUGGCGCUCUUAGGCAGAUGCUGCUCGACCUUUUGGAAGAUCCCCAUGAAAUACGCCGUAUAUGUAUUAUGGGAAGAAACUGCACGGUUACAAAAGGAGACAAUUUGGUCGAAUGCUCUGUACCCUUAGAGAAGCAGAUUGCCGAAGAGGAGGAGGAGGAAAUUGAGAUGCUUCUUGAAAAUUAUCUUCAAAGAUGUGAAUCUUGUCAUGGUCAAGCUGAAAGGCUUCUUGAUUCUGCAAGGGAAAUGGAAGAUUCUAUAGCAGUCAGUUUGAGCUCACGAAGGCUUGAGGUUAGCCGAGUGGAACUGCUUCUCCAAGUAGGAACAUUCUGUGUGGCAGUUGGUGCACUUGUAGCAGGUACAGAUUUUUGGCAAUGGUUUGAUAUAGUUUGUACAGUAUAUUUGGCAUGAACCUGAAGUCAUAUCUUGAAGAGCAUGUGUUUGCAUUUUGGCUGACGACAGCUGGAAUAAUUGUCGGUGCUGUUGUUGCUUUUUUCCUUAUGUAUUUCUACCUCAAGGCAAGGAAAAUAUUUUGAUUGGAAGAAACUUCAAAAAUUAGGUGAUAUCAGAUCAUGAAGAAAACUAAGCACUCAAUGAAUGCAGUGAUUGUGCAUGAGGACCAUCCAGAAUGAAUUGGAAAGUGUGUGCAAUAUUACCGGCAUUAGUCAAUUACCAAUCAAUCGGCAAGAAUUGGUUUCCAUUCUUAUUUAGGAAGGGAGUAGAGCAUUGUUUUGUUGUUUAAUGAUUUCAGAGUGGUUAUAAUAGUCAUAAUCGACGAUCAGCCAUCGAGAUCCUACAUCUGGUUGUUGCUCGUGCCCGUACGUGCUAAAACAAUACACAUUCACGCUAUAUGCAUCAAGACAGGAAGUUGAACACUCCCCCAGCAAGAAGCAUUUUAGUUGGGAAUUUUUUAGGGUGCUGGUGUGUGUGGAAUAUUGGAAUGGGCAAGAUUAGAAAAAUGACAUCCAAACACGGUACAGGAUCGAUCCAAUCUUUUUUUUUUAUGUGGAAAUUAAGUACGACUAAUAUUCCCAAUGAA